GAUGAACGCUGGCGGCGUGCCUAAUACAUGCAAGUCGAGCGAACAGACGAGGAGCUUGCUCCUCUGACGUUAGCGGCGGACGGGUGAGUAACACGUGGAUAACCUACCUAUAAGACUGGGAUAACUUCGGGAAACCGGAGCUAAUACCGGAUAACAUGUUGAACCGCAUGGUUUAACAGUGAAAGACGGUCUUGCUGUCACUUAUAGAUGGAUCCGCGCCGCAUUAGCUAGUUGGUAAGGUAACGGCUUACCAAGGCAACGAUGCGUAGCCGACCUGAGAGGGUGAUCGGCCACACUGGAACUGAGACACGGUCCAGACUCCUACGGGAGGCAGCAGUAGGGAAUCUUCCGCAAUGGGCGAAAGCCUGACGGAGCAACGCCGCGUGAGUGAAGAAGGUCUUCGGAUCGUAAAACUCUGUUACUAGGGAAGAACAAAUGUGUAAGUAACUAUGCACGUCUUGACGGUACCUAAUCAGAAAGCCACGGCUAACUACGUG
rnacentral:rRNA from 1 species